AUAAGAUUAAGUUACUAAGGGCUUAUGGUGGAUGCCUUGGUAUCCGGAAGCGAUGAAAGACGCGGUUAGCUGCGAUAAGCGUUGGGGAGCUGCCAAACAAGUUAUGAGCCAACGAUUUCUGAAUGGGGAAACCCGUCAUGAUGAACUUAUGACAUCUAUUACUGAAUACAUAGGUAAUAGAAGCGAACGAGGGGAACUGAAACAUCUAAGUACCCUCAGGAAUAGAAAACAAUAGUGAUUUCCUGAGUAGUGGCGAGCGAAAGGGAAACAGCCUAAACCAGAUAUAAUUAUAGUCUGCAUGCGUUUUAUAUCUGGGGUAGUGGGAUGCUUGUAGGAAUCGUGCAGAGAUUCCGAAAGAGUUACAAAAUUAAUUUAUAGCUGAAUAUUCUGGAAAGUAUAAUCACAGAGGGUGACAAUCCCGUAAGCGAAAUGAAUUAAUCUCUUUUAAGUAUUCCCGAGUACCGCGGAACACGUGAAAUUUUGCGGGAAUUAUGGAGGAUCAUCUCCGAAGGCUAAAUAUUACCGGAUGACCGAUAGUGAACUAGUACCGUGAGGGAAAGGUGAAAAGCACCCCGAGAGGGGAGUGAAAUAGUAUCUGAAACCAUUUGCCUACAAUCAGUAGAAGCUCUAUGUACAUCAGCAAUGAUGGACAGAGUGACUGCGUGCCUUUUGCAUAAUGAGUCAGCGAGUUAUUUUGUAUAGCAAGGUUAAGCCGUUAAUGGUGGAGCCGUAGCGAAAGCGAGUCUUAAUAGGGCGAUUUAGUUAUACGAAAUAGACCCGAAGCCAGGUGAUCUACCCAUGGCCAGGGUGAAGCAAGAGUAAAAUCUUGUGGAGGCCCGAACACACUAACGUUGAAAAGUUAGGUGAUGAGCUGUGGAUAGGGGUGAAAGGCCAAUCAAACCUGGAGAUAGCUGGUUCUCCUCGAAAUAUAUUUAGGUAUAGCCUCGUAAAUUAGUAACCGGGGGUAGAGCACUGGAUGAGCUAGGGGUCUUACCGGACUACCAAACUCAAUCAAACUCCGAAUACCGGUUAUGCAAUUACGGGAGUCAGACUGUAGGAGAUAACUUCUAUGGUCAAAAGGGUAACAACCCAGAUCGCCAGCUAAGGUCCCAAAAUAUGUGCUAAGUGGAAAAGGAUGUGGAAACGCAUUGACAACCAGGAGGUUGGCUUAGAAGCAGCCAUCCUUAAAAGAAAGCGUAAUAGCUCACUGGUCAAGUGAGUCCGCGCCUAAAAUGUAUCGGGGCUAAGCACAUUACCGAAGCUGCGACUGUGUAUUAAUUUACACGGGGUAGAGGAGCGUUCCGACAACCGCUGAAGGUAGACCGAAAGGACUGCUGGAGGAAUCGGAAGUGCGUAUGCUGACAUAAGUAGCGAGAAAAUAUGUGAAAAACAUAUUCGCCGUAAGUCUAAGGUUUCCUGAGCAAGGUUAAUCCUCUCAGGGCUAGUCGAUCCCUAAGUCGAGGCCGAAGGGCUUAGAUAAUGGAAAACGGGUUAAUAUUCCCGUACUGCAACUUUAACGCUAUCAGCGAAGGGGGGACGCAGUAGGAUAGAUCGUCCGGCUGACGGAAUAGCCGGUUUAAGCAGGUAGGAUUGUACUUUGGAAAAUCCGGGUACUUUAAGUCCGAGAUGCGAAUACGAAAGGCGAAAGUCUUACAAAGCGAUUGAUUCCACACUGCCAAGAAAAUCCUCGUAGCGAGUUAAAGAUGUAAUCGUACCGCAAACCGACACAGGUAGACUGGGAGAGUAUCCUAAGGCGCUUGAGAUAACUCUGGUUAAGGAACUCGGCAAAUUGACACCGUAACUUCGGGAUAAGGUGUACCUGUUAAUGUGAAUGAUUUACUCAGUAAGCAUAUACAGGUUUCAAUAAAAUGGCGGUAGCGACUGUUUACUAAAAACACAGGUCUCUGCAAAGUCGCAAGACGAAGUAUAGGGACUGAUGCCUGCCCGGUGCUGGAAGGUUAAAGGGAGGGGUUAGCACGCGAGUGCGAAGCUUCGAACUGAAGCCCCAGUAAACGGCGGCCGUAACUAUAACGGUCCUAAGGUAGCGAAAUUCCUUGUCGGGUAAGUUCCGACCUGCACGAAUGGCAUAACGACUUCCGCACUGUCUCGACCAGAGGCUCAGCGAAAUUGAAUUACCGGUGAAGAUGCCGGUUACCCGCAACUAGACGGAAAGACCCCAUGCACCUUUACUAUAGCUUGACAUUGGAGUAUGGAAUGAUAUGUGUAGGAUAGGUGGGAGACUAUGAAAUCGGAGCGCUAGCUUCGGUGGAGUCACCCUUGAAAUACCACCCUUAUCAUUCUGUGUUUCUAACUGCAAUCCGUAAUCCGGAUUCAGGACAAUGUCUGGUGGGUAGUUUGACUGGGGCGGUCGCCUCCCAAAGAGUAACGGAGGCGCGCGAAGGUUCCCUCAAGCUGAUUGGAAACCAGCUUUAGAGUGCAAAGGCAUAAGGGAGCUUAACUGCGAGACUGACGGGUCGAGCAGAUACGAAAGUAGGUCUUAGUGAUCCGGUGGUUCCUCAUGAGAGGGCCAUCGCUCAACGGAUAAAAGGUACGCUGGGGAUAACAGGCUGAUCUCCUCCAAGAGCUCAUAUCGACGAGGAGGUUUGGCACCUCGAUGUCGGCUCAUCACAUCCUGGGGCUGUAGCAGGUCCCAAGGGUUUGGCUGUUCGCCAAUUAAAGUGGUACGCGAGCUGGGUUUAGAACGUCGUGAGACAGUUCGGUCCCUAUCUGUUGUGGGCGUAGGAUAUUUGAAGGGAGCUGUCCUUAGUACGAGAGGACCGGGAUGGACGAACCUCUAGUGUUCCAGUUAUCACGCCAGUGGUAAUGGCUGGGUAGCUAUGUUCGGAAGGGAUAACCGCUGAAAGCAUCUAAGUGGGAAGCCCCCCCUGAGAUAAGAUAUCCCCUGUAGCAAUACAGCUAAAGAUCCCUCAUAGACCAUGAGGUUGAUAGGUCGGAUGUGUAAGCAUAGUGAUAUGUUUAGCUUACCGAUACUAAUAGAUCGUGCGGCUUAAUCUUUUUU
rnacentral:rRNA from 1 species